rnacentral:rRNA from 1 species
AACGAACGCUGGCGGCGUGCCUAACACAUGCAAGUCGUACGUGAAAGUCUUUCGGGAUGAGUAAAGUGGCGCACGGGUGAGUAACACGUAGGUGACCUGCCUUUUAGAGGGGAAUAACCAGAAGAAAUUUUGGCUAAUGCCGCAUACGAAGCACAGUUUUAAGACUGUGUUUGAAAGAAUGCCUCUGCAUAGGCAGUCACUAAAAGAUGGGCCUGCGUCCGAUUAGCUAGUUGGUGGGGUAAAGGCCUACCAAGGCGACGAUCGGUAGCUGGUCUGAGAGGAUGAUCAGCCACACUGGGACUGAGACACGGCCCAGACUCCUACGGGAGGCAGCAGUGGGGAAUAUUGGACAAUGGGGGGAACCCUGAUCCAGCAAUGCCGCGUGUGCGAAGAAGGCCUGAGGGUUGUAAAGCACUUUUAGUGGGGAGGAGGGUUUAUUGGUUAAGAGCUGAUAGAUUGGACGUUACCCACAGAAACAGCACCGGCUAACUCCGUGCCAGCAGCCGCCGUAA